AUUGAACGCUGGCGGCAGGCCUAACACAUGCAAGUCGAGCGAGCGGCGGACGGGUGAGUAAUGUCUGGGAAACUGCCUGUUGGAGGGGGAUAACUACUGGAAACGGUAGCUAAUACCGCAUACCAUCAGAUGUGCCCAGAUGGGAUUAGCUAGUAGGUGGGGUAACGGCUAACCUAGGCGACGAUCCCUAGCCGGUCUGAGAGGAUGACCAGCAACACUGGAACUGAGACACGAUCAGGAAUCCUACGGCAGGCAGCAGUGGGGAAUAUUGCACGAUGGGCGCAAGCCUGAUGCAGACAUGCCGCGUGUGUGAAGAAGGCCUUCGGGUUGUAAAGCACUUUCAGCGGGGAGGCGUUACCCGCAGAAGAAGCACCGGCUAACUCCGUGCCAGCAGACGCGGUAAUUC
rnacentral:rRNA from 1 species